AUCGCAUAGAGUGACUUUUAUUAAUUUCAGGAAAUGGAAACCAACCUUUGUAUAUCUGCCUUUUUUAAAAUGUCAUCUGUGCAGGAAAGUUUUGAGCAGUGUUCGUAUUUUGCCUAUCCAGAACAAAAUGGGCUUGGAAAACAAGAGCACAGGGGUCUAAGGAAAACGUAAAAGAUUAAAACACCAGUGAUGUUAGGAAGACUAAGCGUAAAGGUGACAAAUGAUACGGACGUGGGGGAAGAUGCUGAUUGUAGCUGUGGGGACUUCAUCUCUCCACAUACCUACUAGAUCACCAACUCCAUCAAAAGCCUCCCCCAGCCCUCCAGCAAGCUGGACUCUUGAUACAACCCGACCACAAGCCUGCCAUUGACGAAAACCAACUUCAUGCCCAGGAUUCAAUAAUUUUGUAGAAAUGUUUUGUGAAUUUUCGCU